rnacentral:rRNA from 1 species
AUGCGCCCAUGCAUGUUUCCGUUCCCAUUACCAGUCUUUAUUUCUUCACAGUAUCUACUUCCCCAACUGUAUUUUUCUGUGGCUUGCCUUGGAAGGUACAUUCUAGGCAGAAAUACUCAAAUCCAAAUCAUGAAACAUGCUUUUUUAGUGCGUCCGAUCACACAAAACAUGCUGUUGCUUGCUAUUGGCAUUUGUGUUACUUUGGCUCCUGUCUCCUAUUCUUCUUAUAUUGCCUUCUUGGGCUUCAUUUUGGAAUUUGGGAUGUGGGUCCUUUGUCAUUCAUGCGAUUCACGCUUUCUGAUUAUGAAUUUUAUCUUUCUGGUCAAUUCAAGAGAGACUAAACGUAAAUGA